CGUGAGUGAUGAAGGCCCUAUGGUUUGAAAACUCUUUUUAUACGGGAGAAAACACUCCUACGUGUACGAGCUUGACGGUACUGUAAGAAUAAGGACCGGCUAACUCCAUGCCAGCAGCCGCGGUAA
rnacentral:rRNA from 1 species